GGCGCGGCAGCGCCUUUGUGGGGAGACGCCGCGUCGGCACCAGCGCCGCCCGCGCCGGGGCCGGGGCUCCCCGCCGCCCCCAUGAGCCGCCUGUAGGGUCGGCGCCGCCGCACCCCUGCGCCCCAGGGGCUCGGGGUUGGUUGUUUUUGGCUUCCCCCUUCCCCCUUUUUUUUUUUUCUUACAGUCUAUUUUUGUACACUUUGCUAUAAAACCAUGGUGCUGGGGAAGGUGAAGAGUCUGACGAUAAGCUUUGACUGUCUGAAUGACAGCAAUGUCCCUGUAUACUCUAGCGGGGAUACAGUCUCAGGAAGGGUCAGUCUAGAAGUAACUGGGGAAAUUAGAGUGAAAUCCCUUAAAAUCCAUGCGAGGGGGCACGCUAAAGUACGUUGGACUGAAUCGAGGAAUGCUGGAUCCAACACUGCCUAUACACAGAACUACACCGAAGAAGUGGAAUAUUUCAACCAUAAAGACAUCCUGAUCGGCCACGAGAGAGAUGAUGACAAUUCAGAAGAAGGCCUUCACACCAUCCAUUCAGGAAGGCAUGAAUAUGCAUUCAGCUUCGAGCUUCCACAGACUUUUGACCUUUGUGUCCUGCACAGACCACUUGCUACCUCAUUCGAAGGCAGACAUGGCAGUGUGCGCUAUUGGGUGAAAGCCGAAUUGCAUAGGCCUUGGUUUCUACCAGUAAAAUUAAAGAAGGAAUUUACAGUCUUUGAACAUAUAGAUAUCAACACUCCUUCAUUACUGUCACCCCAAGCAGGCACAAAAGAAAAAACUCUCUGUUGUUGGUUUUGUACCUCAGGCCCAAUAUCCUUAAGUGCCAAAAUUGAAAGGAAGGGCUACACCCCAGGUGAAUCAAUUCAGAUCUUUGCUGAGAUUGAGAACUGCUCUUCCCGUGUGGUGGUGCCAAAGGCAGCCAUUUACCAAACACAGGCAUUUUAUGCCAAAGGGAAAAUGAAGGAAGUCAAGCAACUUGUUGCUAGCCUGCGUGGGGAAUCCUUGUCAUCUGGCAAAACAGAAACCUGGAAUGGCAAACAGUUGAAAAUUCCACCUGUUUCUCCUUCAAUUCUUGACUGUAGUAUAAUCCGUGUGGAGUAUUCACUGAUGGUAUAUGUGGAUAUUCCUGGUGCCAUGGAUUUAUUCCUUAACUUACCACUGGUCAUUGGCACCAUUCCUCUACACCCAUUUGGUAGCAGAACAUCAAGUGUAAGCAGCCAGUGUAGCAUGAACAUGAAUUGGCUUGGUCUGACACUGCCUGAAAGACCAGAAGAACUUGUUGUUCGAACUGCGUGUGCCUUUUCCCUGCAGCACCUCCCAGCUAUGCAGAAGUGGUUACGGAGGAGCAACGGCAGUCCAGCCUUGCACCCUUAGGUGUUUGUGAUGACUUUGAGAGAGCGCUUCCAGGACCACUGUUUGCAUACAUCCAGGAGUUUCGUUUUCUGCCUCCACCCCUCUAUUCAGAAAUUGAUCCAAACCCAGAUCAACCCACAGACGACAGACCAUCUUGCCCUUCUCGUUGAAAGAAUCCAUAAGAAGCUGACUUGAUUUGGGUUUGGAAUCAUACCUGCCAUGUUGAAGGUCAAGGCAUCAUAGUGGAGACACACUUUCAAAGAAAGUGGGUUUGCUCUAGCCUGUGUGGUGAAUAAAUGAAAACAACCUGUGAUCAUGCUUUGAAGCCUACAGUAACAUUGUAGGACUGCUCCACAUGCUUGAAGAACUGAGCUUUCCCCCCUUCCUCUUAAAUACUGGCACAUACUAGGAGCAGCCUUACUAACCUACAGUCAUGUGUGUCCAAACACUCAAACCACGUUAAGAGAGGUGUGGCUUCCUCUUACAAUUUGGAAAUUUGCACAUGCUUAUUGCUUACCUUGUGCGGUUCUGUGUCACUACAGCUUUUUCUCAUUUACACCGGACAGUUGUUACCCCUUUCUUAUGUCUUGUGGUCCGCACAAUAAGGAGCAAAAGAAAGCUUUGACAAAAAAGAAAGAAACAAACAAACAAAAAACCCAACAGUAACAGACUUUGACAAAUGCACUGACUUUUUUUUUAAUUUAAUGUAGCCUGGACUUUACCUGCAUAUGCACAUGCUCAGAAUUGUCCUAGUAGGCUGAUCAUGUAUCACCUCUUCAGCUUGGAUCCUAUUGUGGAUUUAUUUUACAAACAUCAAAUGCCUUCAAGCCAAUCCUUCUUGCUGUAUGUUUUGCAGCCUACUGUAGUAGAUAAGCAACAGAUAUGGGGAUAGGGAGGGAGGGUGUGAAGAGUUAAUAGAAAGAAACUAAUAGACUUCGUCAAGAUUGUAUACUUUCUUGAUUUCUUUUAAGAAUUUGUUGCCUUUCUACUAUUAUCGCAAAGCAGCAUUUUGUUACAGACUGCCUAAAAAUCACUUAAUCUCAGGUGAACUCAUCACUUGCCAAACUGUUGGAAUGCUAUUUGUUUUUUUACGUUGCACUGUUGAGUUAGUUCUUUUUUUGUGUUUGUGUUUUGUUUUUUGUUCUUUACUUGAGAGGGAGAUCUGGAAUAAGGACAUACACAAAAGUUACAAAAUCCUCCUCAUUCCCAUUUCUCUUUCUGCAUUAUAAAAAAAAGAUGUUCAAGUUGUGAAGCUCUAAAAAAAAAGGCAUAAAUGAAAGCAGCACCAGCAGACACCAGCUGUUCCUCAAAAGAGUGUUAGAAGGAAGUGGUCAUACACUGUCCAGGAUUCACAGACAGAUCAAUAUCUCAAGUAGUAGGGAUAGGAAGGGAAAGCAAAUUUAUUUUUAUAUAUAGCUACUUAAUCACCAAAAAUUCUAUAUGUGAUGAGUGUAGUAGAAAGUAUAUUUCAAACUGCAGGAAAAGCUUCUUUUAUGCUAAGAGCUCAGUUUGUGCGCUUUGUAUUACCUUUAGGGUUUAUGAUGCUGUACAAGUUUAGAAGUGUAACUAAAGCAAGUAAUAUCAGUGUUACCAGCCAAACUCAAAUAUGAGUUAGCUGGAAGUGCUUUGAUAACUGCAUCUUCUGUGGCACUCUCAAGAGCUUUAAAACAAACAGAACCGUGAAUUAUACCAUGUGUUCAUGCAGAAUGCAAGAAAUCGUAUGGAAAGAGUGUGCCCUUGAGUGUGCCACAGGAAAAAGAGUGCAAUGGAGCCAUUACCUGUGCUAACAAAUGCCAGUGCUUACAUGCUAGAGAUGUACAAUGAAAGUCAACUUUGCUCUUCAGAAGCAAUGGAACACAGGUCACUGACAAAGGGACGCUAUUCUGGUUUUGACUAUUUGAACAAAUAAGAUCUAAUCCAUCAAAUACCUGUCUCCCUGUGCAAUAAAAAAGCUCCGAAGAGAGUCGGAGAGGGGAGGCUGGCGUUUCUGCAUGGUGCUCAUUUUUAAAAACCUUUGCCUUGUUUUUAAGGCUUCAUAAAUGCGACAAAAUAGGCUUUUCCAUAAGUGGCCUUUAUGAUAACAUGAAAGAUCAUUCAUGUUUCAAAAAUGACAACAGGGUGAUAAAAUACAUAUGAGUCGCGUUUUAAGUGAUUCAGUUAAAAGGCUUAGGCUUUGAGUGGGAAUGUUGGCGAGAAGGAAAUUGGAUGAUGUUACUAGGCCAAUUUUGUGGAUGUCCCUUCCCUCUACCCUCUCCAACCAGGCAAUUUUUAAAGCUGAUGGGAUCGUUGGUAUAAAAGGGCAUUUGGUGGUUUUACUUUUUUUUUCCUUUUUUGUUCUUUUUACAGACUAGGGAACAAUUGCUGAUAUACAUAGCAUUAAAGUACUUACCGCAAUACAAUGGAAAAUUGUGUAUGAGGCAGGAUUGACCAAUAUCAUAGUAAUUGACUUGGCAUUUCAGCCUUUGUGAUUAGAAUGAAAAAUUGUAUAAGGUUAUCAAACAAAGACUUUCGGUUUAAAUUACUCAGAGGCAUUACUCUCCCACAAAUAUUGGUCAAUUCUCAGCAUUAUAAAACUUCAGGUUCACAGUUGAAACCCAGUAUUUGUUAGAGAAUUCUGAUCUGAAUUAGGAAAAAGUAAGUAAAAUCCAAACAUUAGAGAAACAAAGUGCAAUAUUAAAUGUUUGCUUUAUAGAUUAUAUUCUAUGGCUGUUUGUACUUUCUUUUUGUUUGUUUUUAGUUUUGGUGCUGAAUAUGUCCUUGUAGACUCUUGUUUUAAGAAAACAGUAUGUGGAAAACAGUUUAAUUUUUCCUAUUGCUCUUCCUUGUGGAAAAUAAACUUUUUUAAAAAAAAGGUUUUAAA